GGCAGCUGCCUAUGAGCGCCGGCCACUGGAGGGCGGCAGAACACACUGAUGAGAAAAUGCUGUCUCUACAAAUCUGUCGCCCCCCACCUCCGUGAUAGCGCCUCACAUAUUCACUUGAGGGCUCAGGCAUGUUGCCUGCACCCUUACCACCCCCCCACCCCCAGGGCCAGGGCACUUUUAUUUUCCCUUUGCAGCCACAUGCUGCAGUGUGCUCAUACAGAAGCCGACGCUCUGCUGAGUUUGCUUCCUGCAUGGACAGGAACAGGAAGUCACGUGGUGCACAUGUGACUGUGAGAGAGGAGAGGAGAGGAGCCUUCAGAUGUGAGGAGCAGCAGCCCAGCAGGUCUAUCAGAAAGCCAUACCAUACGGGGGAGCACAGACUCAGCUGCUGCACCGAGGAGACUGGCUCUACCUAAAAGGUGGCACACAGAAUGGGCAAGAAGGAGGCCUCUGUUUCUUUUCAUGUUUUCUUCCCUCUGCCUCUCCCCACACCACCAGCUCCUCAGGCUCCAUGUUGGCCUGAUGGCAUAUUUUUCAGGGGAGUAGGAGGAGAAUGUAGACAACCUGAUCCUCAUUCCCAUGAGACAUGUUGACCUUGUGGCCUAUUUUUCAGGGGAGGAGGAGAAUGAGUACACCCUGAUCCACACUCCCAUGGAGCCACCAUUCCCAAGCCCACCAACCCAGUUGCAGUUACCACAGAGAGAUGCCUUGUACCACCACACCAAGCCUCAAAGACCUAGCAAUGUCCCUUGACAGCUUCCAGCAGCAUCAGAUGGAGUUCAUGAGCCAGCAAACCAUACAGAUGAACUCCAUCAACCAUCAGCUCCGGAAUCUGAACAGGACCACUGUGGUGGUCCAGGGGACCCGCAUCUGGAUGGCCUGCAAAUUUACUUACCGAUGCAGGAGCUCACGCAGGUGUCCCUGAGCAAAUGCAGGCCAUCUGGGAACAUGGUCUAUCAUACGGUAUUUUAAAGUGGUCAAUGGGUGACGUUGCAUGGCAAAAUGCCUAGCUACAGGCUGUUCGCUGGAUCCCUUGGCAAUCGCCAAUUUGAUGGCGGACCUGUGGGCUGCCAUACGCUCCUUGAACAUACGUUCGGUCUUACCAACAUAUGACAGCCCACAGGGGCACAUCAGUUGGUACACCACAUACCUAGAAGAGCAAGUAAGAGUAUGGUAUAUAAACAUUGUUUUGCCGAAAUGAGGAUGUUGAAAUGUGUCCCCAGGGAUCAUAAAGUGUCCCGCCGGCCAUACGGUGUUAAUCACAGGGUGAUUUACUGCCUUUAUAAGGUAAGGUUUUUUACUGUCUUUGUAUACCUGAGGAAAAUGCCUGAAUAAACCGGCAUUGAAACGUUGUAUCCUUCAUUCUGCCUGCUUGAGAGUUCUUAUUGUCACAAGUCAUCAG